AUGGAGAGGUCAAGGUCCUACUCAGAGAAGAGCAGCGGCGACGGCACCCCGGCCAGCGCCGUCACCGAGCUGAGGUGCUACAGUGCCUCCUACGUCACACCAAAGAAGGCAGCGGGCACCGCCGGCUGGCCUCCUUGUACUACAGCUUCUUCCUCGGCGUCGGCGGCGGCGGCCGGCUCGAAGGCGAGGUCGUGGAGCGGCAGCUUCCGUAGCGCCCCGGCGGAGCUGCGGAGGAAGAGGAGGGUGGCCGGGUACAGGGUGUACGGCGUGGAGGGGAAGAUGAAGGUGUCGCUCAAGAACGGCGUGAGGUGGCUCAAGGGCAAGUGCACCCAGGUUGUGGACGGCAUUUGGUGA
rnacentral:rRNA from 1 species